ensembl:misc_RNA Metazoa_SRP Metazoan signal recognition particle RNA
GCCGGGUGCGGUGGCGCGCGCCUGUAAUCCAAGCUACCGGGAGGCUGAGGCUGGCGGAUCGAUUGAGCUCAGGAGCUCUGAGCUGCAGCGGACUAUGCCGAUCGGGUGUCCGCACUAAGUUCGGUAUCGAUAUGGUGCUCCUGGGGGAGCCCGGGACCACCAGGUCGUCUAAGGAGGGGUGCACCGGCCCAGGUCGGAAACGGAGCAGGUCAAAGCCCCCGUGCCGCUCAGUAGUGGGAUCGCGCCUGUGAAUAGACGCUGUAGUGCAGCCUGAGUAAUACAGCGGGACCCAGUCUUUU